rnacentral:rRNA from 1 species
UGAGGAAUAUUGGUCAAUGGACGAGAGUCUGAACCAGCCAAGUAGCGUGAAGGAUGACUGCCCUAUGGGUUGUAAACUUCUUUUAUACGGGAAUAAAGUGAGGCACGUGUGCCUUUUUGUAUGUACCGUAUGAAUAAGGAUCGGCUAACUCCGUGCCAGCAGCCGCGGUAAUACGGAGGAUCCGAGCGUUAUCCGGAUUUAUUGGGUUUAAAGGGAGCGUAGGCGGACGCUUAAGUCAGUUGUGAAAGUUUGCGGCUCAACCGUAAAAUUGCAGUUGAUACUGGGUGUCUUGAGUACAGUAGAGGCAGGCGGAAUUCGUGGUGUAGCGGUGAAAUGCUUAGAUAUCACGAAGAACUCCGAUUGCGAAGGCAGCUUGCUGGACUGUAACUGACGCUGAUGCUCGAAAGUGUGGGUAUCAAACAGGAUUAGAUACCCUGGUAGUCCACACAGUAAACGAUGAAUACUCGCUGUUUGCGAUAUACAGUAAGCGGCCAAGCGAAAGCGUUAAGUAUUCCACCUGGGGAGUACGCCGGCAACGGUGAAACUCAAAGGAAUUGACGGGGGCCUGCACAAGCGGAGGAACAUGUGGUUUAAUUCGAUGAUACGCGAGGAACCUUACCCGGGCUUGAAUUGCAACUGAAUGAUGUGGAGACAUGUCAGCCGCAAGGCAGUUGUGAAGGUGCUGCAUGGUUGUCGUCAGCUCGUGCCGUGAGGUGUCGGCUUAAGUGCCAUAACGAGCGCAACCCUUAUCGAUAGUUACCAUCAGGUUAUGCUGGGGACUCUGUCGAGACUGCCGUCGUAAGAUGUGAGGAAGGUGGGGAUGACGUCAAAUCAGCACGGCCCUUACGUCCGGGGCUACACACGUGUUACAAUGGGGGGUACAGAAGGCAGCUACACGGCGACGUGAUGCUAAUCCCGAAAGCCUCUCUCAGUUCGGAUUGGAGUCUGCAACCCGACUCCAUGAAGCUGGAUUCGCUAGUAAUCGCGCAUCAGCCACGGCGCGGUGAAUACGUUCCC